UGGGGAAUUGUUCGCAAUGGGCGCAAGCCUGACGACGCAACGCCGCGUGGAGGAUGAAGGUCUUCGGAUUGUAAACUCCUGUUGAUCGGGACGAAUGUCUCCCGGCCUAACACGCCGGGGGAGUGACGGUACCGGUAAAGAAAGCCCCGGCUAACUCUGUGCCAGCAGCCGCGGUAAUACAGAGGGGGCAAGCGUUGUUCGGAAUUACUGGGCGUAAAGGGCGCGUAGGCGGCCAACUAAGUCAGACGUGAAAUCCCUCGGCUCAACCGGGGAACUGCGUCUGAUACUGGAUGGCUUGAAUCCGGGAGAGGGAUGUGGAAUUCCAGGUGUAGCGGUGAAAUGCGUAGAUAUCUGGAGGAACACCCGUGGCGAAGGCGGCAUCCUGGACCGGUAUUGACGCUGAGGCGCGAAAGCCAGGGGAGCAAACGGG
rnacentral:rRNA from 1 species